rfam:Glossina pallidipes unplaced genomic scaffold Scaffold251, whole genome shotgun sequence.
CUAGGGGCCUGGACACGUACAAAGGACCCCUUAGGACGAACUCUAGGUGAACUAUCCUUGAUCAUGUGGAAGUCAAGGGAAACCCUGAUGGAAGACCAAAACAGUUCUGAGGUGCAAAAUGAUUGUCAGAAUUUAAUAUAGGGGCGAAAGACCAAUCGAACCAUCUAGUAACUGGUUCCGUUCGAAGUUUUCCUCAGGAUAGCUGGUGCAUUUAAAAAUUAUGUAAAAUGAUCUGAUCUGCUAAAGCGAGCGAUUAGCUGCCUUAGGGUCAGAACGAUCUUAAUCUAUUCUAAAAAACUAAGUAAAUAAGAACAUCAUGUUUUUUGAUAUGAAGGUUGUGGUCGUGAUAUAAUGUUGGCCCAGUUGACCAUAUCUGGUAAGCAGAACUGAUGCUGUGCCACAGACCGAACAAAUUGCACAUACAAUAGAAAACCAAUAGAGAGUCAGAGAGCCUACGAAGUUUAUAUAUUGCUGAUUAACAUCACAUUCGAGCCAUUCUAG